rnacentral:rRNA from 1 species
AAAGCGGGUGAAAAGCCCGCUCGCCGGAAGACCAAGGGUUCCUGUCCAACGUUAAUCGGGGCAGGGUGAGUCGACCCCUAAGGCGAGGCCGAAAGGCGUAGUCGAUGGGAAACAGGUUAAUAUUCCUGUACUUGGUGUUACUGCGAAGGGGGGACGGAGAAGGCUAUGUUGGCCGGGCGACGGUUGUCCCGGUUUAAGCGUGUAGGCUGGUUUUCCAGGCAAAUCCGGAAAAUCAAGGCUGAGGCGUGAUGACGAGGCACUACGGUGCUGAAGCAACAAAUGCCCUGCUUCCAGGAAAAGCCUCUAAGCAUCAGGUAACAUCAAAUCGUACCCCAAACCGACACAGGUGGUCAGGUAGAGAAUACCAAGGCGCUUGAGAGAACUCGGGUGAAGGAACUAGGCAAAAUGGUGCCGUAACUUCGGGAGAAGGCACGCUGAUAUGUAGGUGAAGUCCCUUGCGGAUGGAGCUGAAAUCAGUCGAAGAUACCAGCUGGCUGCAACUGUUUAUUAAAAACACAGCACUGUGCAAACACGAAAGUGGACGUAUACGGUGUGACGCCUGCCCGGUGCCGGAAGGUUAAUUGAUGGGGUUAGCGGUAACGCGAAGCUCUUGAUCGAAGCCCCGGUAAACGGCGGCCGUAACUAUAACGGUCCUAAGGUAGCGAAAUUCCUUGUCGGGUAAGUUCCGACCUGCACGAAUGGCGUAAUGAUGGCCAGGCUGUCUCCACCCGAGACUCAGUGAAAUUGAACUCGCUGUGAAGAUGCAGUGUACCCGCGGCAAGACGGAAAGACCCCGUGAACCUUUACUAUAGCUUGACACUGAACAUUGAGCCUUGAUGUGUAGGAUAGGUGGGAGGCUUUGAAGUGUGGACGCCAGUCUGCAUGGAGCCGGCCUUGAAAUACCACCCUUUAAUGUUUGAUGUUCUAACGUUGGCCCCUGAUCGGGGUUGCGGACAGUGUCUGGUGGGUAGUUUGACUGGGGCGGUCUCCUCCUAAAGAGUAACGGAGGAGCACGAAGGUUGGCUAAUCCUGGUCGGACAUCAGGAGGUUAGUGCAAUGGCAUAAGCCAGCUUGACUGCGAGCGUGACGGCGCGAGCAGGUGCGAAAGCAGGUCAUAGUGAUCCGGUGGUUCUGAAUGGAAGGGCCAUCGCUCAACGGAUAAAAGGUACUCCGGGGAUAACAGGCUGAUACCGCCCAAGAGUUCAUAUCGACGGCGGUGUUUGGCACCUCGAUGUCGGCUCAUCACAUCCUGGGGCUGAAGUAGGUCCCAAGGGUAUGGCUGUUCGCCAUUUAAAGUGGUACGCGAGCUGGGUUUAGAACGUCGUGAGACAGUUCGGUCCCUAUCUGCCGUGGGCGCUGGAGAACUGAGGGGGGCUGCUCCUAGUACGAGAGGACCGGAGUGGACGCAUCACUGGUGUUCGGGUUGUCAUGCCAAUGGCACUGCCCGGUAGCUAAAUGCGGAAGAGAUAAGUGCUGAAAGCAUCUAAGCACGAAACUUGCCCCGAGAUGAGUUCUCCCUGACUCCUUGAGAGUCCUGAAGGAACGUUGAAGACGACGACGUUGAUAGGCCGGGUGUGUAAGCGCAGCGAUGCGUUGAGCUAACCGGUACUAAUGAACCGUGAGGCUUAACCUU